rnacentral:rRNA from 1 species
CCCCUAGAUGUUCUGGGCCGCACGCGCGCUACACUGAACAGUUCAACAAGUCUUAACCUUGGCCGAUAGGUCUGGGUAAUCUUUGAACGCUGUUCGUGAUUGGGAUAGACCUUUGCAAUUAUGGGUCUUCAACGAGGAAUUCCUAGUAAACGCAAGUCAUCAGCUUGCAUUGAUUACGUCCCUGCCCUUUGUACACACCGUCCGUCGCACCUACCGAUUGAAUGGUCCGGUGAAAUCUCGGGACGGCGGCUUGGUCGCUUGCGUCCGACUGCUGAAACUUGAUUAAACCAUAUCAUUUAGAGGAAGGUGAANUCGUAACA